rnacentral:rRNA from 1 species
AUACUUAAAGGAAUUGACGGGGACCCGCACAAGCGGCGGAGCAUGCGGAUUAAUUCGAUGCAACGCGAAGAACCUUACCAAGGCUUGACAUACACGAGAACGCCCUAGAAAUAGGGAACUCUUUGGACACUCGUGAACAGGUGGUGCAUGGUUGUCGUCAGCUCGUGUCGUGAGAUGUUGGGUUAAGUCCCGCAACGAGCGCAACCCUCGUUCUAUGUUGCCAGCACGUCAUGGUGGGAACUCAUGGGAUACUGCCGGGGUCAACUCGGAGGAAGGUGGGGAUGACGUCAAAUCAUCAUGCCCCUCAUGUCUUGGGCUUCACGCAUGCUACAAUGGCCGGUAACAAAGGGCUGCAAUACCGUAAGGUGGAGCGAAUCCCAAAAAGCCGGUCCCAGUUCGGAUUGAGGUCUGCAACUCGACCUCAUGAAGUCGGAGUCGCUAGUAAUCGCAGAUCAGCAACGCUGCGGUGAAUACGUUCCCGGGUCUUGUACACACCGCCCGUCAAGUCAUGAAAGUCGGUAACACCUGAAGCCGGUGGCCCAACCCUUGUGGAGGGAGCCGUCGAAGGUGGGAUCGGUAAUUAGGACUAAGUCGUAACAAGGUAGCCGUACCGGAAGGUGCGGCUGGAUCACCUCCUUUCUG